CAGUCGCCGCGGUAAUACGGAGGGGGCUAGCGUUGUUCGGAAUUACUGGGCGUAAAGCGCACGUAGGUGGCUUGGUAAGUUAGAGGUGAAAGCCCGGAGCUCAACUCCGGAAUUGCCUUUAAGACUGCCGAGCUAGUAGGUGAGAGAGGUAAGUGGAAUUCCGAGUGUAGAGGUGAAAUUCGUAGAUAUCCGGAAGAACACCAGUGGCGAAGGCGGCUUACUGGCUCAUUCUAGACGCUGAGGUGCGAAAGCGUGGGGAGCAAACAGGAUUAGAUACCCCCGUAGUCCCUGUCUCUUAUAC
rnacentral:rRNA from 1 species